CGGGGUGCAGCAGGCGCGAAAACUUUACAAUGCGGGAAACCGUGAUAAGGGGACACCGAGUGCCAGCAUCAUAUGCUGGCUGUCCGGGUGUGUAAAAUACACCCGUUAGCAAGGGCCGGGCAAGACCGGUGCCAGCCGCCGCGGUAACACCGGCGGCCCGAGUGGUGAUCGUGAUUAUUGGGUCUAAAGGGUCCGUAGCCGGUUUGGUCAGUCCUCCGGGAAAUCUGAUAGCUCAACUAUUAGGCUUUCGGGGGAUACUGCCAGGCUUGGAACCGGGAGAGGUAAGAGGUACUACAGGGGUAGGAGUGAAAUCUUGUAAUCCCUGUGGGACCACCUGUGGCGAAGGCGUCUUACCAGAACGGGUUCGACGGUGAGGGACGAAAGCUGGGGGCACGAACCGGAUUAGAUACCCGGGUAGUCCCAGCCGUAAACGAUGCUCGCUAGGUGUCAGGCAUGGCGCGACCGUGUCUGGUGCCGCAGGGAAGCCGUGAAGCGAGCCACCUGGGAAGUACGGCCGCAAGGCUGAAACUUAAAGGAAUUGGCGGGGGAGCAC
rnacentral:rRNA from 1 species